rnacentral:tRNA from 1 species
CGAUGGGCCGGCCGGGGCCCGCGUCGACGAUGUCGACGUCGUCGAGGGCGCCGAGCACGCGGCAUCCGGGUUCGAGAUCCGCGCCACCGCC